GUGGGGAAUAUUCCGCAAUGGACGAAAGUCUGACGGAGCAACGCCGCGUGAGUGAUGAAGGUUUUCGGACUGUAAAGCUCUGUUGUUUAGGACGAAAGUGCCUGUUGCAAACAGUUACAGGUAUUGACGGUACUAAACGAGGAAGCCACGGCUAACUACGUGCCAGCAGCCGCGGUAAUACGUAGGUGGCAAGCGUUGUCCGGAAUUAUUGGGCGUAAAGAGCAUGUAGGCGGGAAUCUAAGUCUGUUGUGAAAAUGCGGGGCUCAACCCCGUAUUGCGAUGGAAACUGGGUUUCUUGAGUGCAGGAGAGGAAAGGGGAAUUCCCAGUGUAGCGGUGAAAUGCGUAGAUAUUGGGAGGAACACCAGUGGCGAAGGCGCCUUUCUGGACUGUGUCUGACGCUGAGAUGCGAAAGCCAGGGUAGCGAACGGGAUUAGAAACCCUUGUAGUC
rnacentral:rRNA from 1 species